GGGCUCUUAGCUCAGUUGGUAGAGCAGCGGACUCUUAAUCCGUAGGUCGGGCGUUCGAAUCGCCCAGGGCCCACCA
rnacentral:tRNA from 2 species